ACCCACCCGAGGGAUUAAUAAAGUUCUAUCUUAUCUCAUCUUAUCUUAUCUUAUCUUAUCUUAUCAAAUGCAGGUUUGAGAGGUUUGUGAGUUUACACUUUAUCCAAAACCUAGUAAGGGUUUACUCAUCGUUGCCAGUGGGUGGCUGUAGCUCAGGUGGUAGAGCUGGUCAACUACUGAUCGGAAGGUUAGUGGUUUGAUCCCUGGCUCUUACAUGUCGUGAGUGUGAAUGUGUUAUGAAUGUAGUUAGGAAGCACUCAGUUAAGAGAAAGCGUGUGGUUGAGUGAAUGUGGCAUGUUGUAUAGAGCACUUUGAGUAAUCUGGGAGAGUUGAAAAAUGUUAUAUAAGAAUCACUGUCUGAACAGAGUUUUGUCAUGUUACUUUUGCACUAUUAUGCACAUGUUGUUAUUACAUGGCUGAAUUAAGGUACACAUUAGGCUGACAUCUGGGGCCAGAGCUGAAACUCGCCUCGUUUGGUUUGUUUCCCUUACAGAGGUUUUUGGCAAACAGUACCAAGUAAGCUCUCCAACUCUUGGUAAAGUCUCUUUUAUGCUUUUCUCGGUUUCGGGUAAGACCCUCCUAAUUCUCCUGCUCCUUUUCCCUUAGAUCGAGUGUGCUACCAGUGUCUCCUCACCUGCACGUCCCGGCUCCAUGUCCCCAUUCACAUUUUAUUGUAUAUACUGUUACGGCCGAGAGGGCCCGGCUGUGGGUGUGGACUCAAAAUGCAGACACAGAGGGAGGCAAACGGGCGUGAACACAGUGCUUUAUUUACAAGUGUCUAGUGAAAUUACACAACAGGAGACUAUGAAUGCUAUGAAUUAUGAAAUGCUAUGAACUGUGAACUGUGAGGCCAAACUGUGAACAUGAAACUGAGUGCUAUGGCUAGGUGCUGGAUUUCACGGAUGGAAAAAAGGGGCAGCGGCUUGGAUGGAGGUACGCAGUCACUAUAAUGAGAAGAGACAAGUAGUCAGUGGCAGUCCAGUGAAUCACAGCCGCAGGUUUAGGCUAUGGAGGUUAGGGCUUACGUGUUGCAGGUUUAAAGUGUCAUGCGAGGAAGGGGUGUCCAGGGGGUUCCGGGUGAGGAGUGUCCAGAGAGGAUCCAGAAUAUGCGUGGAGUGAGGGACUUGGCAGGGAGGCAGGCAGGUGUAGUCCGAUGGUGGAGAGGAAGAAACCAGAUGACAGAACCAGCGUCCAGGCGGAGAUGAGAGUAGUUCGGGAAACGUGACUGCCAGGUGACUUGAUUGGAACCAGGUGUGGAAGCUGAUUGGAGUCUCUGCCUGAAGGUAGAAUCCAGCGGAGUGGAAAAACCCCGUGCUCACCAUGACAUAUACACUGUCCUUGAAAAUUCAUCUCCUUCACUGUAAAUAAAUUG
ensembl:lncRNA